rnacentral:rRNA from 1 species
AGUCGAACGGCAGCACGGACUUCCGGUCUGGUGGCGAGUGAACGGGUGAGUAAUGUAUCGGAACGUGCCCUAGUAGCGGGGGAUAACUACGCGAAAGCGUAGCUAAUACCACCUUCGCCCUUCGGGGGAAAGCGGGGGACCUUCGGGCCUCGCACUAUUAGAGCGGCCGAUAUCGGAUUAGCUAGUUGGUGGGGUAACGGCUCGCAAGGCGACGAUCCGUAGCUGGUUUGAGAGGACGACCAGCCACACCAGGACUGAGACACGGCCCAGACUCCUACGGGAGGCAGCAGUGGAAUUUUGGACAAUGGGAAACCUGAUCCAGCCAUCCCGCGUGUGCGAUGAAGGCCUUCGGGUUGUAAAGCACUUUGGCAGGAAAGAAACGGCACGGGAUAAUACCCCGUGCAACUGACAGUACCUGCAGAAUAAGCACCGGCUAACUACGUGCCAGCAGCCGCGGUAAUACGUAGGUGCAAGCGUUAAUCGGAAUUACUGGGCGUAAAGCGUGCGCAGGCGGUUCGGAAGAAAGAUGUGAAAUCCCAGAGCUUAACUUUGGAACUGCAUUUUUAACUACCGAGCUAGAGUGUGUCAGAGGGAGGUGGAAUUCCGCGUGUAGCAGUGAAAUGCGUAGAUAUGCGGAGGAACACCGAUGGCGAAGGCAGCCUCCUGGGAUAACACUGACGGCGCUCAUGCCACGAAAGCGUGGGGAGCAAACAGGAUUAGAUACCCUGGUUAGUCCACGCCUAAACGAUGUCAACUAGCUGUUGGGGCCUUCGGGCCUUGGUAGCGCAGCUAACGCGUGAAGUUGACCGCCUGGGGAGUACGGUCGCAAGAUUAAAACUCAAAGGAAUUGACAGGGACCCGCACAAGCGAUGGAUGAUGUGGAUUAAUUCGAUGCAACGCGAAAAACCCUUACCUACCCUUGACAUGUCUGGAAUCCCGAAGAGAUUUGGGAGUGCUCGCAAGAGAACCGGAACACAGGUGCUGCAUGGCUGUCGUCAGCUCGUGUCGUGAGAUGUUGGUUAAGUCCGCAACGAGCGCAACCCUUGUCAUUAGUUGCUACGAAAGGGCACUCUAAUGGGAACUGCCAGUGACAAACCGGAGGAAGGUGAGAUGACGUCAAGUCCUCAUGGCCCUUAUGGGUAGGGCUUCACACGUCAUACAAUGGUCGAGACAGAGGCUCGCCAACCCGCGAGGGAGCCAAUCCCAGAAACCCGAUCGUAGUCCGGAUCGCAGUCUGCAACUCGACUGCGUGAAGUCGGAAAUCGCUAGUAAUCGCGGAUCAGCAUGUCGCGGUGAAUACGUUCCGGGUCUUAACACCGCCCGUCACACCAUGGGAGUGGGUUUUACCAGAAGUAGUUAGCCUAACCGUAAGGAGGGCGAUUACCACGGUAGGAUUCAUGACUGGGGUGAAGUCGUAACAAGGUAA